rnacentral:rRNA from 1 species
UAACAAUGAUUUCCCCAGUAACGGCGAGUGAAGAGGAAAGAGCUCAAAGUUGGAACCUGCUUGGCUUAGCCAAGCCGGAUUGUAAACUGUAGAAGUGUUUUCCUGACACGCCAGGCAAAAAAGUCCUUUGGAACAGGGCAUCAUAGAGGGUGAGAAUCCCGUCUUUGGCCUGAGCAGUUGUCUUUUGCGAUACACUUUCAAAGAGUCAGGUUGUUUGGGAAUGCAGCCUAAAUUGGGUGGUAAAUCUCACCUAAAGCUAAAUAUUGGCGAGAGACCGAUAGCGAACAAGUACCGUGAGGGAAAGAUGAAAAGAACUUUGAAAAGAGAGUUAAACAGUAUGUGAAAUUGUUAAAAGGGAACCGUUUGGAGCCAGACUGGCUUGGCUGUAAUCAAUCUGGGCUUUUGCCCGGAUGCACUUGCGGCCUAUGCCUGCCAACGACAGUUUUAUUUGGGGGAAAAAACCAGGCGGAAUGUGGCCCCUUAGGGGGUGUUAUAGCCUCUUGGAAAAUACCCUGGAUUGGACUGAGGAUCGCAGCGAAUGCCAUUAGGCGAGAUUGCGGCGUGCUUUCGCUGAUAAAUGCUAGAAUUUCUGCUUCGGGUGGUGCUAGUGUUUAAAGGUGGAACCCGCGCUGUAUAUUUUUUAUUCGCUUAGGUUGUUGGCUUAAUGACUCUAAAUGACCCGUCUUGAAACACG